CCUCUUCCUAAAAUAGAAAUACGUGGACAGCCUUUAAAUUAGAAUGCAAGGUGAAGAACAAAGAAGUUUUUUGCCAUAAAAGGAUUGAGGCUGUGAUGCUCGCCACAGUGUGGACGGACCUUGAGGACGCCGUGCUCAGUGACAGACGCCAGACACAGAGGACACAGCGUGGGCUCCUCGGACAGGAAACGCCCAGGACAGGGUCUCACUAGCUACAUAGCCCUGGGUUGGCCUUGAACUCUCAGUGGUCCUCCUGCCUCAGCCUCCUGAGUGCUGGGAUUACAGGACACAUAGCGGGCCAAGGCGGUGACCACCGGUGGCUUGAAGACAUCUUCACAGGUCAGGGAAGUAAAGGACAAAAAUCCUGCCACCUGGCCUUGGUCACACCAGAGGCCCACCCGAGUCACCCUGUCAGGGGGGACAGAAAGCAGCCAGUCAUGGUGGACCACAUUCCUCUGGGUGGUACGGAGCGAGCGCGGCAAGUCCAGGACCCAGACCUUCUUGUGGGGCUUCACCUUGCCUUUCGGCUGCAGGCACAGACGAGGGGGUCCCCAGAGUGUGCCACUGUGACCAUCACCCUCAGCCUCCCCUGAACCCGCCCCUGCCCAGCCCAGUCUGGCGUGGGGUGUGUCCACCAGUUUUCAGAGCUUUUCCUGAACCAGGGAGAGGCAAGUCUUCCCACAGGACGCCAGGGAUCCAUCCUUGCCACCCGAUGGAAAGCCACACCUGAAGCCAGACCUCCUGGACUUCUCAGCAAGGAGAAAAGUAACUAAGGCACCAUCAUAUUAAAGGCCCAAUUCAUCGAAGCCCACUCUCCCCGAGCCAGCAGAGUUCCGGACACCUCGCUCCCUGCCUUCCAUCUCACACUCCCAGGCUCCCGCCCUGGCCCAGCCUAGGGCUUUGGAAGUGACCACCUGGGCAGUCCUAGGUGGGCUCUUUAUGCUGAGCCCCGGUUUCUUGGUCCAAAACAUGGGGUGUUAACAGCCCUGCCUCCUGGGUCCUGUAUCCUGACUGCCAGCCACGGUUAGAGCAAGAAGCAUGGAGCAUGAGGUCUCAAAGGCCCCUCAGGACCUGGAGGGAGCUGGAGGAUGGCACAUUUGCCGCUCAGCCCUGGACGGUUCUGACGGUUCUGUAAAAGCACGCCCCGCACGACAGCAACUGCUGGACAUGGAGGAGUUCUCAUUUUUGUAGCUUGUCUGCUAACACCAAAAUUC
rnacentral:lncRNA from 1 species